rnacentral:rRNA from 1 species
CCUGGUUGAUCCUGCCAAUAGUCAUAUGCUUGUCUCAAAGAUUAAGCCAUGCAUGUGUAAGUAUGAACUAAUUCAAACUGUGAAACUUUGAAUGGUCAUUAAAUCAGUUAUAGUUUGUUUAAUGGUAUCUACUACUCAGAUAAUUGUAGUAAUUCUAGAGCUAAUACGUGCAACAAACCCCAACUUCUGGAAGGGAUGCAUUUAUUAGAUAAAUGGUCAAUGCUGGCUAUGUCCGUUGCUUUGAUGAUUCAUGAUAACUUAAUGGAUCACACAGCCUUUGUGCCGGUGACGCAUCAUUCAAAUUUCUACCCUAUCAACUUUCGAUGGUAGGAUAGUAGCCUACUAUGGUGGUGACAGGUGAUGGACAAUUAGGGUUCAAUUUCGAAGAGGGAGCCUGAAAAAUGACUACCACAUCCAAGGAAGGCAAUAGGCACGCAAAUUACCCAAUCCUGACACGGGGAGGUAGUGACAAUAAAUAACAAUAUCGGGCUCUAUGAGUCUAGUAAUUGGAAUGAGUACAAUCAAAAUCCCUUAAUGAGGAUCCAUUGGAAGGUAAGUCUGGUGCCAGCGGCCACGGUAAUUCCAGCUCUAAUAGCAUAUAUUUAAGUUGUUGCAAUUAAAAAGGUUGUAGUUGAAACUAGGGUUGGGUCAUCCCGUUCGCCUCACGGUGAGCACCAAUCUACUAGUCCCUACUGUCGGUGAUGCACUUCUGGACUUAAUUGCCUGGGUCAUUCCUCUGGUGCUAUUACUUUGAAGAAAUUAGAGUACUCAAAGUAGGCCUACGCUUGUACACAUUAGCAUGGGAUAACAUCAUAUGAUUUCAAUCCUAUUGUGUUGGCCUUCGGGAUCGGAGUACUGAUUAACAGGGACAGUCAGGGGCAUUCGUAUUUCAUAGUCAGAGGUGAAAUUCUUGGAUUUAUGAAAGAUGAACAAUUGCGAAAGCAUUUGCCAAGGAUGUUUUCAUUAAUCAAGAACGGAAUUGGAGGCUCGAAGAUGAUCAGAUACCAUCCUAGUUUUAACCAUAAACAAUGCCGACCAGGGAUCGAUAGAUGUUACUUUUAAGACUCUGUCGGCACCUUAUGAGAAAUCAAAGUCUUUAGGCUUCGGGGGGAGUAUGGUCGCAAGGCUGAAACUUAAAGGAAUUGAUGGAAGGGCACCAAUAGGAAUGGAGCCUGCGGCUUAAUGUGACUCAACACGGGGAAACUUACCUAGUCCAGACAUAGUAAGGAUUGACAAACUGAGAGCUCUUUCUUGAUUCUAUAGGUGGUGGUGCAUGGCCGUUCUUAGUUGGUGGAGUGAUUUAUCUGGUUAGCACGAAUGAGACCUCAACCUGCUAACUAGCUACACGAAGGUGAUCCAUCGUGGCUAGCUUCUUAGAGGGACUAUGGUCGCUUAGGCCAAGGAAGUUUAAGGCAAUAACAGGUCUGUGAUGCCCUUAGAUGUUCUGGGUCACAUGCAUAUUACACUAAUGUAUUCAAUGAGUCUAUAGCCUUGGUCGAUAAGCACGAGUAAUCUUUGAAAUUUCAUUGUGAUGGGGAUAGAUCAUUGCAAUUGUUGGUCUCCAACAAGGAAUUCCUAGUAAGCGCGAGUCAUCAGCUCACGUUAACUACGUCUCUGCCCUUUGUACACAUCGUCCAUCGCUCCUACCAAUUGAUGGUCCAGUGAACUGUACGAAUCACGGCAACGUGGACGGUUCACCUCCCACGAUGUCACGUAAAGUCCACUGAACCUUAUCAUUUAGAGGAAGAAGAAGUCGUAACAAGGUUUCCAUAAGUGAACAUGCGGAAG